rnacentral:misc_RNA from 1 species
UACAGAGGGUGCAAACGUUGCUCGGAAUCACUGGGCGUAAAGCGCGUGUAGGCGGAUGUUCAAGUCAGAUGUGAAAGCCCUGGGCUUAACCCAGGAAUUGCAUUUGAAACUGGAUGUCUUGAGUAUUGGGGAGGGAAGCGGAAUUCCUGGUGUAGAGGUGAAAUUCGUAGAUAUCAGGAGGAACACCGGUGGCGAAGGCGGCUUCCUGGACAAUGACUGACGCUGAGACGCGAAAGCGUGGGGAGCAAACAGG